rnacentral:rRNA from 1 species
UACAUAGGCCUCGAGCGUUAGGCGGAAUCACUGGGCUUAAAGCGUGUGUAGGCGGACUUCUAAGUGCCUUGUGAAAUCCCACGGCUCACCCGUGGAACUGCUGGGCAUACUGGGAGUCUUGAGCCACCUAGGGGCGAGCGGAACAAAUGGUGGAGCGGUGAAAUGCGUAGAUAUCAUUUGGAACGCCAACGGAGAAAUCAGCUCGCUGGGGGUGUGCUGACGCUGAGACACGAAAGCCAGGGGAGCGAACGGG